AUUAGAGUUUGAUCCUGGCUCAGAACGAACGCUGGCGGCGCGCCUAACACAUGCAAGUCAAACGAGAGGCCGUAGCAAUACGGUCGUACAGUGGCGAACGGGUGAGGAAGACGUGGGUAACCUACCCUCGAGUGGGGAAUAACCCGCCGAAAGGCGGGCUAAUACCGCGUACGCUUCUGUUCCUUCGGGGACGGAAGGAAAGCUGUGCCGUGGGCAUGGCGCUCAAGGAUGGGCUCACGCCCUAUCAGCUUGUUGGUAGGGUAACGGCCUACCAAGGCAACGACGGGUAGCUGGUCUGAGAGGACGAUCAGCCACACUGGCACUGCGACACGGGCCAGACUCCUACGGGAGGCAGCAGUGAGGAAUAUUGCGCAAUGGGCGAAAGCCUGACGCAGCGACGCCGCGUGGGGGAUGAAGGUCUUCGGAUUGUAAACCCCUUUCGGGAGGGAAGAUGGAACGGGCAACCGUUCGGACGGUACCUCCAGAAGAAGCCACGGCUAACUUCGUGCCAGCAGCCGCGGUAAUACGAAGGUGGCAA
rnacentral:rRNA from 1 species